rnacentral:tRNA from 1 species
GCGCCCUUAGCUCAGUUGGAUAGAGCAACGGCCUUCUAAGCCGUGGGUCGCAGNNAAUCCUGCAGGGCGCGCCA